GACGUAGGGCGCGAGCGUUGUCCGGAUUUAUUGGGCGUAAAGAGCUCGUAGGCGGCUUGUUGCGUCGACCGUGAAAACCCGGGGCUCAACUUCGGGCUUGCGGUCGAUACGGGCGGGCUAGAGUUCGGUAGGGGAGACUGGAAUUCCUGGUGUAGCGGUGAAGUGCGCAGAUAUCAGGAGGAACACCGGUGGCGAAGGCGGGUCUCUGGGCCGAUACUGACGCUGAGGAGCGAAAGCGUGGGGAGCGAACAGG
rnacentral:rRNA from 1 species